UUAAAAUAUAUCAAGAAAUAAAGAUUUUCUCGUAUAUAUAUGAUCGGUUCCACAAAAGAUCGUAGACCAACGUUUUGGAAGAGGAAAAAGACCAAGCGUUCCAUCAUCGAUUUCGUUCGCUCCAUUUUCGUUCACGAGCGUUUCCCUUUUUCUCGUUACCCACCCUUUCUUUCGUUCAUUCCCGGCGAGCGAAAUGGGGAAUAUCGCGUUUUCUUGCCAACCUGGCCGGCGCGCAAGAUGAAAAUAAAGCAACGCGGAGGAACGGAGGAAAGGAAGAAUGAAAGGAACCGGCUACGCGGAAAAAUUGAAAGCACCAGACACCCUAUUUUUUUUUCUUUUUUUCUUCGCCGGCCAAGCAGAGCAACAGGGCGCUGAUAUUCCUCGUUGGUUUUACCGUAUUGGAAGUACGAAUAAACUGCGAAUAGCUGUUGCAUUAUCGGUUAUACGUGCGAGGCGAUAGACCGUGAUAGAUUCUUUUCCAAAGAGACAAUGGACAUCUUUACCGUCUAUUUAUCAAACAUUCCUCCACACUUGGAUCGCUAUCAAAAUUCACCCUGCACUUUAUCCCGCUGUUUGUUGAUUAACCCGUGAAAUGUCACGUUGUGGCGACCGGAGCGUUUCAAAGAGGAAUCUUUAUACAAUUUUUACAAGGCGAAUGAUUGAAGGUAAAAAAAAAAGAAAAAAAAGAGGGAGAUCGCGAAUAUAUAAUAAUAAUGAACGUUUUUUGAGCGCAAGAACGCCUCGGGUUACGGCAAAGGUCCCCUCUUAACACACUUAAUAAAUAUGUUUAUCGCUUCGCCGACUUCCGUCUAUCGGCUGAGUGGGUCCAGUGACGUCACUGCCGUUUUUCUAACGUCACGAUAAAACGGAAAACCGCAAGGAUGGCGGUAAAAUAACUGGCCAUAAUCGGAAUGGGCGAG